UACGUAGGGUGCAAGCGUUGUCCGGAAUUAUUGGGCGUAAAGAGCUCGUAGGCGGUUUGUCGCGUCGAAUGUGAAAACCCGGGGCUCAACUCCGGGCCUGCAUUCGAUACGGGCAGACUAGAGUUCGGUAGGGGAGACUGGAAUUCCUGGUGUAGCGGUGAAAUGCGCAGAUAUCAGGAGGAACACCGGUGGCGAAGGCGGGUCUCUGGGCCGAUAAUGACGCUGAGGAGCGAAAGCGUGGGGAGCGAACAGG
rnacentral:rRNA from 1 species